GAUUGGAGCAGUAAACAGUGCGAUUUAGUGUUGAUACCACGGAAAUUUUCCACAAACCUGCAGCACGACAGAUAGGUCCUGGAAAUAAAAUUGAAUAAUUUUCACCGGUAGACGUGACAGGCUUUAAAGGUAACUGUGGAUGCACUGCCCCAGAAGGAGUUUCAGGAAAGCUUGCCUUAUGAAAUUCUUGAUAAGGAGCACCAAAACCAUAAAAAAUCAACAAAAUCACAGAAUAGCACAACCAGAGCUAGCAAGCCUGUAGCACUACAGCCAGAAACACCAAAAGCAGCAUCACCACUGAAAAGAGAGCAAAGGAGGAAGAAACCACAGCACCUCAAAGUGGCACAUCCAAUUCCCAAUGCUCCACAGUCAGUGCAGCUUGUUGCAGAAUUGAGCAAUCAAAAAGAAGACCUGGGUCACCUUAAAAACCAACUUAUGGCUAAGUGUUCACCUGAGCGUUUAAAGUUGCCCAAGCUGGACGCCUGCUACCCACGCAGGCAGGCAGUCUGGCCUGGGUUUGAGGUGCUGAGCUUAAAUACCUCACUGCCACAUUCACAGAAGGUAAAGGGUCGCUCAGCAACAGAGAAACUGGUGAAUGGCAGACCUGCAAGGCACAAUGGCAACUCCUUCCCCACUCUGAGGAAGAGCCCAUUGAAUGGAGGCCAGAAUCACCCUUCUAGCAGCAGUCUGGGUAAGGAAACAAACCAACCCCAGCAUUUCAUACCCUCCUCAUCAAUAAUGAUAUUGGAUUCAACGAGUCUCUCCCCAGGAGUGACCCAGAGGAACCAACAUGACAGAUCCUCUAAGCAGCACAGUUAUGCACUGGGCCACAGGCAAAAUCUCCAGCCAAUCAUAAGCAGUGUACCAUUGCCACUGCACUCUGGGGAUCAACUAACAUUUCAGCACAGGGUGAACAUCAGCAGAACAUAGAGUUUAGUGAUAAGCUAAGUCAUAUACUGCAUAUUGUUAGAGAUAAGUAUAUAGCAAUAAUCAUGAUAUUAUUAGAUUACUUAGAGAAUGUGUUGCUCAAAAUUAGAUGAUUAACAAAAAUAAGAUGUUUUUUGUGCUAUUAUUUCCAUCACAUUAUAUUUUCCAGUUAUUUCCGCUUUGAGCAUUGCUAAUUACUACUGAAUGGUAAGCUAAUCAUUUACAUAAAUUCACUUUUAUUCAUUUGCCAGAUGCUUUUGUUUAAAGAAAUGUAAAAUCGUUACAGGUAAUAUAUGUCAAGGAUGGAGCUGGCAGAGAGACAACUUUGGUACAAGUGCUCUGAGACUAAUCUUGACUGACCAGAAACCAGAAACAAACAUAUUGCUUACAUAUUUUGGCACAUUGUAACACUUAAUUUGGCAUGUUAUUAUUGUAUUGUGACUAAUUAAAAACUAUCACUCAAUGUAUUAUUAUGAUGUAUCAUUGCUUUUUUAAAACUAAAAAAAAAUGCUUUAAAAAAUUCUGAUCUAGUUAAAAAAUAUGUUUAGGAUAAAAAAAAUUGAAUAUCCUGGUUUUGUACAUUUCUUGUUGUUGGGGAGAAAGAAAAGCACAAUCCAUCACACCGCUGAUGCCAUAUGAAGACUAAACAGGUGUAUUAUGUAGCACAUGACCGUAAUUAUCUGACAAUUCUCACAGUGAUGCAUAAUUAAUAUGUGGCUUGAAAAUGAACUUGUGACACAGGAAGUUUGGAGUUUAGCUUAAUUUUGGUGGAGUAGUGAAUAUUGGAGAGAUUUUUUUUCUUUAGGCUGGUGUUUACAACAUACCCAAAUUAUGUAUGUUUAUUAAAUCAGUCCCACCUUCAGCAAGAGAGUGGUUUUUCGGGUAAAGUGAUUAUGUGCCCAAUGAACUGUUAGAGCUGGAGGCCACUGCGUCAUUCACAGCAUGAAUUUCUGGCUGCAACCACCACCUGCUAAACUGUGCUUGACCUUAGACUUGUUGCGGCCCCAUUGAUAUGCCUUGUCUCCACACCAGUCUCCACAGGACAUUACAGCACAUCUGUGUGUUGGAUCACAUGCUGUGGGCCCCUACAAGGGGCUUCUUCCCUUGAAGAUCCUGCCCUGUGUGUGCGGCCACUGGCCUGCAGUAGGGGUUUAAUCAUACAUAUCAACAAGUUUUUUUUUCUGGUUUGUCUUGAGGUCCUAUUUUUAGAAGAUGCAGAAGUAGACAUGGGAUAACAGACCUCAUGACUCUCAUUGUUACACUUCACGGGGAGCACGGACCAGGGAAGCAAGAGAAGGAGCCGUCGGGACAGGAACCACGGAGGGUGGAACAGGAACCGCUGUUUUCAGGGAUUUGAGGAUCUGCGGGAUAGCAUCCCCAAGACCCCUGGCACCUAUCAGUGCCAAGCACGUACCCCGAAAGGUACGGGCUUCAGGUACACACUCUGGCAUCGACGAAGCGGCGGAGGCUGUGGGCAGAUGAGCGUCGGGUGGCUGCGGCGAGCAGACGAGCUUCAGGCAUCUGCUGCGAAGCGGCGGGGAAUCCUGGGGAGGUGAACACCGCUGGGUGGAGAAUCGGGAGGGGAGGCAGCGGGAACUGAGAUGGAGCCUAGGAGGACCUCCCACGAUGGGAGCCUCACCUAUGCUAGGCCAGGACAUGCAGGGAGAAGCAAUGAUCUCACCAUGAUCCACACAAGAUAUCCCCGGAUCCGAGGAAGUCCCCUCCACUGGAGACUGGGUCUGCUCUUUCCUUGGUCUUUAAGCACCUUUCUUAGAUCCUCCACAAUUUUCUCCAACUCCUGAGGAAGGGAGGCUGGGGAUAUGGUUGCCAACCCCUGGUCCAUCCAUUUCAGCAAUGUGAUGGCCUUGGGUAACGCCUGCAUUUGGGGGUCCACAAACACCCUCCACUGUCAUCCUAGGAGUGCAAAGUACGUCUCUGCCUGGACACCCAGGGCAGGAGCAGCUUGGUGCGGCAAGGAAAAGACAGGUGGAGUGGUUUCGCUUCACAAGGGAGUGGCAAACAGAGCAAGGAGUGGCUCUGUAUCAUGGUGAAGGAACAGCAAACUGGGUGGCUUUACAUCAUGAGAAAGCAGCAGGCUGGGCAGCUUCGCAUGACCAGCAAGCGCCAGGUUGGGAAGCUUCACUUUCGCAGGCGUGGGCUGACGAGUCCGGUGUGUCCUCAUCUUCCCAGAUCAUCUGCUACCAGAGCCACACUGACAUAAGCUGACCCCUACUUCAGUGGAGGGGCUCCCAUUCUUUCGACGGUUCCUCUGGAUCAUCUUCAGAUGACUCGGAACAGAGUGGAUUGUUCACAUAGCUGCUGGGAAUAUCCUUUAUUACCAAGGAGGCGAAGUGGGCAGAUCUCUACACCAAGCAUAUGCUGGUACUUCGAAAACAAAAGGGAUGCGGCUGCCAGAGGUUUUCCCCCACCCCCUUCAAGAUGUGUGCAACUUUCCUGUGGGUGGCUGCAGCAGAGUUACUCCCACAGAGAGCAGAAGGGUGUUGGAGGACUGCUUGCAGUACUGGAUGCAGCUUAACGUCAUAUUCAGGAAAUAACAAAGAGCUGUCUAAGGACAUCAGAGACAAGAUUUUUGACCUUCACAAAUAUGGAAUGGGCUAAAUGACCAUCAGCAAGCAGCUUGGUGAGAAAGUGACAACUGUUGUUGCAAUUAUUCACAAAUGGAAGAAAGACAAAAUAACUGUCAAUUACCCUCGGUCUAGGGUCCCAAGGAAGAUCUCAUAUCAUAUGGCAUCAAUGAUCAUAUGGGAUCAAGAAUGGUGAGGGCUAACCCCAGAACUACACGGGAGGAGCUCACUAAUGAUCUCAAAGCAGCAGGGACCACAGUCAUCAAGAAAAUCAUCAGUAACACAUCAUGCCGUUACGAUUUUAAAUCCUGCAUUGCUUGCAAAAUAUCCCUGUUCAAGAGGGCCCAUGUUCAGGCCUGUCUGAAGUGUGCCAGUGAGCACCUGAAUAAUUCCAAUGAGGCUUGAAAGAAUGUGAUGUGGUCAGAUGAGACCAAAAUUGAGCUGUUUGGCAUCAUCUUCACUCGCCGUGUUUGGAGGAAAAAUAAUGCUUACUAUAACCCCAGGAACACCAUCCCUACUGUCAAACACGGAGGUGGAAGCAUUAGGCUUUGAGGGUGUUUUUCUGCAAAGGGUACAGGACAGCUGCACCACAUCGAAGGAAAGAUGGUCGGGGCAAUGUACUGUAGAAUCUUGGAUGACAACCUCCUUCCUUCAGCCAGGGCACGGAAAAUGCAUUGCGGGUGGGUCUUCUAGCAAGACAACGACCCUAAGCAUCCGGCCAAGGCAACAAAGGAGUGAUUCAAGAAGAACCAUAUUAUGAUCAUGGAGUGCCCUAGUCAGUCUCCGGACUUUAAUCCCAUAGAAAACCUAUGGAGGGAACUCAAGCUUCGUCUAUCCAAGUGACAGCCUAAAAACCUUAAAGAUUUGAAGGAGGUCUGCAAAGAGGAGUGGAUGAAAAUUCCUGAUGAUCUACAUGCAAUCCUGGUGACCAACUACAAAAAACAUUUGACAGCUAUGCUUCCAAACAAUGGUUAUUCCACCAAGUACUAAAGCAUGUGUUCCAAGGGAUUAAAUACUUAUUUCCUGAGAUGAAUGACAGAUUGGUUUGCAACUGUUACAUGAUGAUAUUUUCUUGCUUGUUUUGUUGAUAAUCUAUCUUUUGCUGUUAAAAUAAACCUACCAGUGAACUUA